rnacentral:lncRNA from 1 species
UUUUACUAAAUUAAUUGACAAAAAAAUUAAACGACGCCCAUGUACCAUGAAAUAGAGUUUAAUAAACAUUAAUACGAAUGUAAAAUGUGGUUAGAAAUUUUAAAACAACACUAAAGAUCAUAUGCAUCAGUAUAUAAAGCAUUAACCGAAAAAUUCAAUAUUUUCGUAGGGGUUAACCCAUAGAUUUUGAGAAAAAAUUAAAAAAAUAAAAAUUCUAUUUUAAUGCAUAGUUGCAUCCUUCACGAACAUAUGAUGAAGGUCAAAGAGGUUU